GCUCCUAAAUCUAGCUAUAAAUACAACCCUUUAUGGUGUGUGUUUGAAGUUUUUUUUUAAGGCUAAAGAAAUCCCUCUUUCGAAUCCACGAGAUUUUCAAUUGGGAGAAAAUCCUCUUCUCUUAUUAUUUUUUACAAGCUUUCUCAGUGGAAAACCUCCCUUCUUUCAUUUUUAUGAGAACUAGGGAAAGAAAUAACUCUUUACAUUCUACUCUUUGACAUAAAAUACAUUCCGAGAGGAGUUAACGAGCGGAUUCGGCGACUCGACAACGACGAAUCACCUCAGUUAUUUGCCCGGAGAAGGUCAGUAACUUUCCUUUUCCCUACUUUUAUUUUAGUCCCAUGAGUGAAUGCAUAAAUAAUUGAACGUUGGUGUCGCUCGCCUAAUUUUCUAUUUAGGCGUUUGUUACAAUACUUGAUGUUGCCAUUUUAUUUAAUAUAAAUCAUGUACGUGUAAAGAGCGUUUUAACUUAAAGUAAAGUACUUAAGAGAAAUAUUAAUUCGACUUGUCGAAUAUAUAAAUAACUAUGUCCUCGUCUAAUUUUCCGCUUUUGCAUCUAUUAUAACCCGUGUGUUGCCAUUUUCACCAUAUAAAAGGUGAAAGGAACCAGAUCGCUAAUAGAAGUCAUAAGAGUGAAGUUAGUUUGAAUGAGUAAUUAGGUGAUUGCUUGUUAGUUUGAAUGAGUAAUUAGGUGAUUGCUUUGUAGUUUGAACGAGUAAUUAGGCGAUUGCUUCGGCUGUUUUGUUUCAAAUGUUUCUUUAUCCAUAUUUGGGAGGCUGUUUUUCUCUAAUCUUUGUGAAAAACUAGUAUAAAAAAUGUAAUCGGUGAUAGCUUGCUAGUUGGUUUUAAAACACAGUCCAUACAUGUGGUUCUAGUGACUGUUAGUUUGCUGUUUUUAGCAUGGUAAUCCCCUUCGUCUCUCAUUUCGCUUCAGUUUAUAAAAUUAAAAAGUAGUAAAUUGAAUAUUUUCGGAUUCCGUUCAAGUCUCUGUUAAGUGUGUGUAGAAAAUAUGUAAUCUCGUCUCUGUUUCUUCUAAAAUCAAGGUGUCCACAGGCUAGUACGAAUCAUGAGUUUGUUUAAGGAAAGAUAUCAUAUAUUUGGGGUUCAAAAUCUUUUUUCAUUUGUAACUUGAAUUUGCAAUGUGUAUGAACUUCCCUAAUGAGUGAAAACUGGAAUAAAUUAGUUCGCAAUCUGUUAGGCCUAUGUUCUCAAGUUCUCUUUGCUUGAAAAUACUUUUUUUGGAGUAUUAAACAAGGAUUUGUUUAACAACCUUAUUUCUAUAAUUAGUGCUUGAUCUCUACCAAAUAUCAUGUCGUGAUAUUUAAAAAGGAAGUAUGUAUCGAAAGAAUUUGUCUCAUUUGAACGCUCCUCCUAAAAAAACCUCUCAUGUAUAAAUAUUCGUAAAAUAUCCAAGUUCAAGUCUAGUUUGCCUUUUCUUUCAGUAGCUUCUCUGAAUAAAAUCCUUACUUCUAGUAUCGUUUUGCCGGCUGAAAGUCAAGGCAAACCUUGGGUUUUGGUUUAGCCUCCUCC